UACGGGGGGGCAAGCGUUGUUCGGAAUUACUGGGCGUAAAGGGCCAGUAGGCGGCCAACUAAGUCCGACGUGAAAUCCCGAGGCUUAACCUUGGAACUGCGUCGGAUACUGGAUGGCUUGAAUUCGGGAGAGGGAUGCAGAAUUCCAGGUGUAGCGGUGAAAUGCGUAGAUAUCAGGAAGAACACCCGUGGCUAAGGCGGCUCUCUAGUACGGUACUGACGCUGAGACGCGAAAGCGUGGGGGAGCGAACAGG
rnacentral:rRNA from 1 species